GUGAAAACCACCCAGGUAUCCACGCUGACUGUCCUGCAACAGACAUGAAACCAGACUUGUUGCUCGCAUGGCGUCCAGCUUUAGCCCACUCUCCGCCAUUUAUACGUGAAGCCACUGGAGACCUGUCAGACUCUGCAGCCACACACCUGAAGUAAAUUGGCUUAACAGAGCUUCUUCGGGCAUGGUUGUCACCUUGUCUGAAUGGCAUGAGAUCAUCCGGAACUCAAGCUUGAGCAACCCAGCAACUCUGCCUUGGCAUCCCAGGAAUGGGACAGAAGCAGCUAUACCCGGGGAACGGAACAAGCCAUCCGCCCCAGGGGACAAGCAGAAAACAACCGAUUCUUCAUUUGCUCCCCCAUUCAAACCUCGUCUGCAUGCUCAUUCUUCCUGACCUCUUGGAGGAAAUCUCUGGAAGAUCCCUCAAUUCUUUCAGUUUGAUUGAGGCACAAGAAGCAUUUCUUUUGGGAAAUA